GACGAACGCUGGCGGCGUGCCUAAUACAUGCAAGUCGAACGCUGAAGGAGGAGCUUGCUUCUCUGGAUGAGUUGCGAACGGGUGAGUAACGCGUAGGUAACCUGCCUGGUAGCGGGGGAUAACUAUUGGAAACGAUAGCUAAUACCGCAUAAGAGUAGAUGUUGCAUGACAUUUGCUUAAAAGUUGCAAUUGCAUCACUACCAGAUGGACCUGCGUUGUAUUAGCUAGGUGGUGGGGUAACGGCUUACCAAGGCGACGAUACAUAGCCGACCUGCGAGGGGGAGCGGCCACACUGGGAGUGAGACACGGCCCAGAGGCCUACGGGAGGCGGCAAGAGGGAAUCUUCGGCAAUGGACGGAAGUCUGACCGAGCAACGCCGCGUGAGUGAAGAAGGAUGUCGGAUCGUAAAGCUCGGUUGUAAGAGAAGAACGAGUGUGAGAGUGGAAAGUUCACACUGUGACGGUAUCUUAUCAGAAAGGGACGGCUAACUACGUG
rnacentral:rRNA from 1 species